CCUACGGGUGGCAGCAGUGGGGAAUAUUGCGCAAUGGGCGAAAGCCUGACGCAGCGACGCCGCGUGAGGGAUGAAGGUCUUCGGAUCGUAAACCUCUGUCAGCAGGGAAGAAAGGUCACUGUGCUAAUCAGCAGUGCAUUGACGGUACCUGCAAAGGAAGCACCGGCUAACCCCGUGCCAGCAGCCGCGGUAAUACGGAGGGUGCGAGCGUUAAUCGGAAUUACUGGGCGUAAAGCGCUCGUAGGCGGUAUGUCAAGUCAAGGGUGAAAUCCCAGCGCUCAACGAGGGAACUGCCUUUGAAACUGGCAAACUGGAGUGUGUGAGAGGAUAGUGGAAUUCCAGGUGUAGGAGUGAAAUGCGUAGAUAUCUGGAGGAACAUCAGUGGCGAAGGCGACUAACUGGCACAUAACUGACGCUGAGGAGCGAAAGCGUGGGUAGCAAACAGGAUUAGAUACCCGAGUAGUC
rnacentral:rRNA from 1 species